rnacentral:rRNA from 1 species
ACGCUGGCGGUGUGCCUCAUACAUGCAAGUCGAACGAGAAGCUACCUUCGGGUAGUGGAAAGUGGCGGACGGGUGAGUACAACAUAGGAAAUCUGCCUUUAGGUGGGGGACAACAGAGGGAAACUUCUGCUAAUACCCCAUAUGAGCUUAGCUGAAAUGCUAAUCUUGAAAGUUCUGGCGCCUAAAGAUGAGCCUGUGCCUGAUUAGCUAGUUGGUGGUGUAAUGGACUACCAAGGCGACGAUCAGUAGCUGGUUUGAGAGGAUGAUCAGCCACAAUGGGACUGAGACACGGCCCAUACUCCUACGGGAGGCAGCAGUAGGGAAUUUUGCGCAAUGGGCGAAAGCCUGACGCAGCAACACCGCGUGAAUGUUAAGCCCUUCGGGGUGUAAAGUUCUGUCAGUAGGGAAGAAUAAAUGACUGUACCUACAAAGGAAGCACCGGCUAACUCCGUG